AGUGAACGCUGGCGGCGUGCCUAAUACAUGCAAGUCGAACGGAGAUUAAAUAGCUUGCUAUUUAAUCUUAGUGGCGCACGGGUGAGUAAUAUAUAGCUAACUUGCCCAUUACUAAGGGACAACAGUUGGAAACGACUGCUAAUACCUUAUACUCCGUAUCUAUAUAAGUAGAUACGGGAAAGUUUUUCGGUAAUGGAUAGGGCUAUAUCGUAUCAGCUAGUUGGUAAGGUAAUGGCUUACCAAGGCUAUGACGCGUAACUGGUCUGAGAGGAUGAUCAGUCACACUGGAACUGAGACACGGUCCAGACUCCUACGGGAGGCAGCAGUAGGGAAUAUUGCUCAAUGGGGGAAACCCUGAAGCAGCAACGCCGCGUGGAGGAUGACACUUUUCGGAGCGUAAACUCCUUUUCUUGGGAAAGAAUUAUGACGGUACCCAAGGAAUAAGCACCGGCUAACUCCGUG
rnacentral:rRNA from 1 species